GACGAACGCUGGCGGCGUGCUUAACACAUGCAAGUCGAACGGAAAGGCUCCAGCUUGCUGGAGUACUCGAGUGGCGAACGGGUGAGUAACACGUGGGUAAUCUGCCCUGCACUCUGGGAUAAGCCCGGGAAACUGGGUCUAAUACUGGAUAUGACCUUUCUCCUUAUGGGGUUUGGUGGAAAGUUUUUCGGUGUAGGAUGAGCCCGCGGCCUAUCAGCUUGUUGGUGGGGUGAUGGCCUACCAAGGCGACGACGGGUAGCCGGCCUGAGAGGGUGAUCGGCCACAUUGGGACUGAGAUACGGCCCAGACUCCUACGGGAGGCAGCAGUGGGGAAUAUUGCACAAUGGGCGGAAGCCUGAUGCAGCGACGCCGCGUGAGGGAUGACGGCCUUCGGGUUGUAAACCUCUUUCAGCAGGGACGAAGCGUAAGUGACGGUACCUGCAGAAGAAGCACCGGCGAACUACGU
rnacentral:rRNA from 1 species